rnacentral:tRNA from 1 species
GGGGGUAUAGCUCAAUGGUAGAGCACUCGCCUCUUAAGCGAAUGGUUCAGGGUUCAAAUCCCUGUGCCCCCA